AUUGAACGCUGGCGGCAUGCUUUACACAUGCAAGUCGAACGGUAACAGCACUUCGGUGGCUGACGAGUGGCGAACGGGUGAGUAAUACAUCGGAACGUGCCUAGUAGUGGGGGAUAACUACUCGCAAGAGUAGCUAAUACCGCAUGAGAUCUAAGGAUGAAAGCAGGGGACCUUCGGGCCUUGCGCUACUAGAGCGGCUGAUGGCAGAUUAGGUAGUUGGUGGGAUAAAAGCUUACCAAGCCGACGAUCUGUAGCUGGUCUGAGAGGACGACCAGCCACACUGGAACUGAGACACGGCCCAGACUCCUACGGGAGGCAGCAGUGGGGAAUUUUGGACAAUGGGCGCAAGCCUGAUCCAGCAAUGCCGCGUGCAGGAUGAAGGCCUUCGGAUUGUAAACUGCUUUUGUACGGAAAGAAAAGCCCUCUUCUAAUACAGGAGGGUCAUGACGGUACCGAAAGAAUAAGCACCGGCUAACUACGUG
rnacentral:rRNA from 1 species